AUGAAUGGUGAACGCAAGGUGCACUGAAUUGCGUGGGAUAAGAUGUGUCAGCCCAAACGUAAUGGACGAAUGGGCUUCCAUGACCCGGAAACGUUUAAUCAAGCCCUUCUUGCCAAACAAGCAUGGAGAUUCCUACAGGUACCAUCCUCAUUAUGUGCUAGAGUCCUCAACGCGAGAUAUUUUAGUGAAGGUUCGAUCAUGAAUGCCACUUGUCCGGCUGGAGGUUCGUACACUUUCAGAAGUAUCUACAUGGACAUGAUCUGCUGCGGGCUGGGUAUAUUUAGCGCAUUGGGGAUGGAUCCUCUGUGA
rnacentral:rRNA from 1 species